GAGGGUAUACCUCAGUGGUAGAGCACAUGCUUAGCAUUCCUGAGGUCCUGGGUUCAAUCCCCAGUACCUCCA
rfam:Camelus ferus unplaced genomic scaffold scaffold1274, whole genome shotgun sequence.